AACGGCAACUGCUCUAUCGCCGGCAGCCAUGUGCUGCGGGAGGAAAGUCCGGGCAGCAAAGAGUCGCCAUACUUCCUAACGGGAAGGUGCGUCGCCCGCAAGGACGGCGUAACAGAAAGUGCCACAGAAAAGAUACCGCUUUAUGAUGUGGUUUUUCCAUCAUAAAGUAAGGGUGAAAACGCGAGGUAAGAGCUCACGACGGGUGCAGCGAUGUCCCUGGUGGUAAACCUUAUGGGCUGAAAAACCAAAUAUACCGGCAGUUAAGGGUUGACUCGCUCGUUGCCGGGGGGUAGGUUGAUUGAGACGUUCGGUGACGUGCGUCCUAGAUUAAUGAUAGAGAACGGGCUUCGGCCUGAUACAGAACCCGGCUUACAGGUUGCCGUUUUUU
rnacentral:RNase_P_RNA from 1 species